rnacentral:rRNA from 1 species
GGGCCCGCACAAGCAGUGGAGUAUGUGGUUUAAUUCGAAGCAACGCGAAGAACCUUACCAGGUCUUGACAUGGGGAUGACCGGUACAGAGAUGUACCUUUCCUUCGGGACAUCCCACACAGGUGGUGCAUGGUUGUCGUCAGCUCGUGUCGUGAGAUGUUGGGUUAAGUCCCGCAACGAGCGCAACCCUUAUUGUUAGUUGAUACAUUUAGUUGAUCACUCUAGCGAGACUGCCGUUGACAAAACGGAGGAAGGUGGGGACGACGUCAAAUCAUCAUGCCCCUUAUGACCUGGGCUACACACGUACUACAAUGGCAGUCAUACAGAGGGAAGCAAAGCCGCGAGGUGGAGCAAAUCCCUAAAAGCUGUCUCAGUUCAGAUUGCAGGCUGCAACUCGCCUGCAUGAAGUCGGAAUUGCUAGUAAUCGCGGAUCAGCAUGCCGCGGUGAAUACGUUCCCGGGCCUU